AGCGUACACGGUGGAUGCCCUGGCAGUCAGAGGCGAUGAAGGACGUGCUAAUCUGCGAUAAGCGUCGGUGAGGUGAUAUGAACCGUUAUAACCGGCGAUUUCCGAAUGGGGAAACCCAGUGUGUUUCGACACACUAUCAUUAACUGAAUCCAUAGGUUAAUGAGGCGAACCGGGGGAACUGAAACAUCUAAGUACCCCGAGGAAAAGAAAUCAACCGAGAUUCCCCCAGUAGCGGCGAGCGAACGGGGAGGAGCCCAGAGCCUGAAUCAGUGUGUGUGUUAGUGGAAGCGUCUGGAAAGGCGUGCGAUACAGGGUGACAGCCCCGUACACAAAAAUGCACAUAUUGUGAGCUCGAUGAGUAGGGCGGGACACGUGGUAUCCUGUCUGAAUAUGGGGGGACCAUCCUCCAAGGCUAAAUACUCCUGACUGACCGAUAGUGAACCAGUACCGUGAGGGAAAGGCGAAAAGAACCCCGGCGAGGGGAGUGAAAAAGAACCUGAAACCGUGUACGUACAAGCAGUGGGAGCCUCUUAAUGGGGUGACUGCGUACCUUUUGUAUAAUGGGUCAGCGACUUAUAUUCUGUAGCAAGGUUAACCGAAUAGGGGAGCCGAAGGGAAACCGAGUCUUAACUGGGCGUUAAGUUGCAGGGUAUAGACCCGAAACCCGGUGAUCUAGCCAUGGGCAGGUUGAAGGUUGGGUAACACUAACUGGAGGACCGAACCGACUAAUGUUGAAAAAUUAGCGGAUGACUUGUGGCUGGGGGUGAAAGGCCAAUCAAACCGGGAGAUAGCUGGUUCUCCCCGAAAGCUAUUUAGGUAGCGCCUCGUGAAUUCAUCUCCGGGGGUAGAGCACUGUUUCGGCAAGGGGGUCAUCCCGACUUACCAACCCGAUGCAAACUGCGAAUACCGGAGAAUGUUAUCACGGGAGACACACGGCGGGUGCUAACGUCCGUCGUGAAGAGGGAAACAACCCAGACCGCCAGCUAAGGUCCCAAAGUCAUGGUUAAGUGGGAAACGAUGUGGGAAGGCCCAGACAGCCAGGAUGUUGGCUUAGAAGCAGCCAUCAUUUAAAGAAAGCGUAAUAGCUCACUGGUCGAGUCGGCCUGCGCGGAAGAUGUAACGGGGCUAAACCAUGCACCGAAGCUGCGGCAGCGACACUAUGUGUUGUUGGGUAGGGGAGCGUUCUGUAAGCCUGUGAAGGUGGCCUGUGAGGGUUGCUGGAGGUAUCAGAAGUGCGAAUGCUGACAUAAGUAACGAUAAAGCGGGUGAAAAGCCCGCUCGCCGGAAGACCAAGGGUUCCUGUCCAACGUUAAUCGGGGCAGGGUGAGUCGACCCCUAAGGCGAGGCCGAAAGGCGUAGUCGAUGGGAAACAGGUUAAUAUUCCUGUACUUGGUGUUACUGCGAAGGGGGGACGGAGAAGGCUAUGUUGGCCGGGCGACGGUUGUCCCGGUUUAAGCGUGUAGGCUGGUUUUCCAGGCAAAUCCGGAAAACCAAGGCUGAGGCGUGAUGACGAGGCACUACGGUGCUGAAGCGACAAAUGCCCUGCUUCCAGGAAAAGCCUCUAAGCAUCAGGUAACAUCAAAUCGUACCCCAAACCGACACAGGUGGUCAGGUAGAGAAUACCAAGGCGCUUGAGAGAACUCGGGUGAAGGAACUAGGCAAAAUGGUGCCGUAACUUCGGGAGAAGGCACGCUGAUAUGUAGGUGAAGCGACUUGCUCGUGGAGCUGAAAUCAGUCGAAGAUACCAGCUGGCUGCAACUGUUUAUUAAAAACACAGCACUGUGCAAACACGAAAGUGGACGUAUACGGUGUGACGCCUGCCCGGUGCCGGAAGGUUAAUUGAUGGGGUUAGCGGUAACGCGAAGCUCUUGAUCGAAGCCCCGGUAAACGGCGGCCGUAACUAUAACGGUCCUAAGGUAGCGAAAUUCCUUGUCGGGUAAGUUCCGACCUGCACGAAUGGAGUAAUGAUGGCCAGGCUGUCUCCACCCGAGACUCAGUGAAAUUGAACUCGCUGUGAAGAUGCAGUGUACCCGCGGCAAGACGGAAAGACCCCGUGAACCUUUACUAUAGCUUGACACUGAACAUUGAGCCUUGAUGUGUAGGAUAGGUGGGAGGCUUUGAAGUGUGGACGCCAGUCUGCAUGGAGCCGACCUUGAAAUACCACCCUUUAAUGUUUGAUGUUCUAACGUUGGCCCGUAAUCCGGGUUGCGGACAGUGUCUGGUGGGUAGUUUGACUGGGGCGGUCUCCUCCUAAAGAGUAACGGAGGAGCACGAAGGUUGGCUAAUCCUGGUCGGACAUCAGGAGGUUAGUGCAAUGGCAUAAGCCAGCUUGACUGCGAGCGUGACGGCGCGAGCAGGUGCGAAAGCAGGUCAUAGUGAUCCGGUGGUUCUGAAUGGAAGGGCCAUCGCUCAACGGAUAAAAGGUACUCCGGGGAUAACAGGCUGAUACCGCCCAAGAGUUCAUAUCGACGGCGGUGUUUGGCACCUCGAUGUCGGCUCAUCACAUCCUGGGGCUGAAGUAGGUCCCAAGGGUAUGGCUGUUCGCCAUUUAAAGUGGUACGCGAGCUGGGUUUAGAACGUCGUGAGACAGUUCGGUCCCUAUCUGCCGUGGGCGCUGGAGAACUGAGGGGGGCUGCUCCUAGUACGAGAGGACCGGAGUGGACGCAUCACUGGUGUUCGGGUUGUCAUGCCAAUGGCACUGCCCGGUAGCUAAAUGCGGAAGAGAUAAGUGCUGAAAGCAUCUAAGCACGAAACUUGCCCCGAGAUGAGUUCUCCCUGACUCCUUGA
rnacentral:rRNA from 1 species